UCGGUUCUCAACCACCCUCCAGCUGCGGUUCCGCACGCGAGAAGAGACUGGAGAACUAUUUCGUCUGGUGGAUCAGCACCAUCGCGAGUACAUAAUUCUACAGAUAAUUGACAAAACAAUCCAGGUGAGGAUGAAUCUACACGGUUUAAGACCAAGAGAGGAAGUGAUCAGCUUGGAUCAUGUAAAUGUCAGUGAUGGAGCGUGGCAUGCAGUAAAGGUCAGUCGCCACGGAUCUACACUGAUGCUCCAGCUAGAUGGAGGGGAAGGACGGAAGUACAACGAGAGUUUCCGU